UACGUAGGUGGCAAGCGUUGUCCGGAAUUACUGGGUGUAAAGGGUGCGCAGGCGGGAGAUUAAGUCGGCGGUGAAAUUUUGCAGCUCAACUGUAAAAGUGCCUUCGAAACUGGUUUCCUUGAGUGUAGAUGAAGUAGGCGGAAUUUGUGGUGUAGCGGUGAAAUGCAUAGAUAUCACGAGGAACUCCGAUUGCGCAGGCAGCUUACUAAACUGUCACUGACGCUGAUGCACGAAAGCGUGGGUAUCAAACAGGAUUAGA
rnacentral:rRNA from 1 species